rnacentral:rRNA from 1 species
AGCGAACGCUGGCGGCAGGCUUAACACAUGCAAGUCGAGCGGGCACUUUCGGGUGUCAGCGGCGGACGGGUGAGUAACGCGUGGGAACGUGCCCUCUGGUUCGGAAUAACUCGGGGAAACUUGAGCUAAUACCGGAUACGCCCUUUUGGGGAAAGGCUUGCUGCCGGGGGAUCGGCCCGCGUCUGAUUAGGUAGUUGGUGAGGUAACGGAUCACCAAGUCGACGAUCAGUAGCUGGUCUGAGGAUGAGCAGACACACUGGGACUGGGACACGGCCCAGACUCCUACGGGAGGCAGCAGUGGGGAAUAUUGGAAAAUGGGCGCAAGCAUGAUCCAGCCAGGCCGCGUGAGUGAUCAAGGCCUUAGGGUUGUAAAGCUCUUUUAUCCGGGACGAUAAUGACGGUACCGGAGGAAUAAGCCCCGGCUAACUUCGUG